rnacentral:rRNA from 1 species
GACGAACGCUGGCGGCGUGCUUAACACAUGCAAGUCGAACGGAAAGGCCCUGCUUUUGUGGGGUGCUCGAGUGGCGAACGGGUGAGUAACACGUGAGUAACCUGCCCUUGACUUUGGGAUAACUUCAGGAAACUGGGGCUAAUACCGGAUAGGAGCUCCUGCUGCAUGGUGGGGGUUGGAAAGUUUCGGCGGUUGGGGAUGGACUCGCGGCUUAUCAGCUUGUUGGUGGGGUAGUGGCUUACCAAGGCUUUGACGGGUAGCCGGCCUGAGAGGGUGACCGGCCACAUUGGGCCUGGGGUACGGCCCAGACUCCUUCGGGAGGCAGCAGUGGGGAAUAUUGCACAAUGGGCGGAGGCCUGAUGCAGCAACGCCGCGUGCGGGAUGACGGCCUUCGGGUUGUAAACCGCUUUCGCCUGUGACGAAGCGUGAGUGACGGUAAUGGGUAAAGAAGCACCGGCUACCUACGU